GGAAGCUCCUCGUUCGGGGCGGCCGUGGCGGCGGUCGCCGUGAUGCCUGCGGCGCUGGGCGGCUGAUCGCGAGGUAGCAGCGGGCUCCGUGCCCAGAAUCUCGGCGGCCGCUGCUAGAGCGCGGCCUGCGCCAUGGCCACCUCCGCCACCUCCUCGGAGCAUUUCGAGAAACUGCACGAGAUCUUCCGCGGCCUCCAUGAAGACCUACGAGGGGUGCCGGUGCGGCUCCUGGGCACUGCCGGGACAGAAGAGAAGAAGAAGUUGAUCAGAGAUUUUGAUGAAAAGCAACAGGAAGCAAAUGAAACGCUGGCAGAGAUGGAAGAGGAACUACGUUAUGCGCCCCUAUCUUUCCGGAACCCUAUGAUGUCUAAGCUUCGAACCUACCGAAAGGACCUUGCCAAACUCCACCGGGAAGUGAGAAGCACACCUUUGACAGCCACACCUGGGGGCCGAGGAGACAUGAAAUAUGGCACAUAUGCUGUAGAGAAUGAGCACAUGAAUCGACUACAGUCUCAAAGGGCAUUGCUUCUGCAAGGCACUGACAGCCUGAACCGGGCCACCCAGAGUAUUGAGCGCUCUCAUCGGAUUGCCACAGAGACUGACCAGAUUGGCUCGGAAAUCAUAGAAGAGCUGGGGGAGCAACGUGACCAGCUGGAGCGUACCAAGAGUAGACUGGUAAACACAAGUGAGAACUUGAGCAAAAGUCGAAAGAUUCUCCGUUCAAUGUCCAGAAAAGUGACAACCAACAAGCUGCUGCUUUCCAUUGUCAUCUUACUGGAGCUAGCCAUCCUGGGAGGGCUGGUUUAUUACAAAUUCUUUCGCAAGCAUUGAACUUCCUACAGGGAAGGGGUUGUGGACCAGAACUUCGACCCUGUGAAUGAAUGGCGUUAAACAAACAUGUGGAAUAAGCAUAUUGCUGCUGUGAGCUAAUGCUUCAAGGAUGCACUGUGUAACCAGACUGUGGGAGGAGGGAGGGAAGACUGAAAACCACUUAAAUGUGAAGGAACAGCAACAAGACCAGUAUGCUAUACCAAGGAUAUGCUUAAAGCAACACAAGACACACCCGAUCUGGAAAAGAGAACUGAUACAAGUGGAAAUGAUUCACAAGGGCAACUGCAGAACACAGUACAGCUUUCUCAAGAAGAAUAAAAAAAUCUCUUUUCCUAAGGUGUGCUCUGUUUCUCAUUAACUUAACUAAAUAGCGGUAAUACUGAUUAGCCCUUUUCCACCUCUUUGCAUAUUACUGAAUUGUUUACAGAUUGAUUUUUGAAACAUAACCCAGUUGCCAUCUCAAGUUGCCGACAGCCAAAACAUGAAUUCUGCCUAAUGAAUAACCUUUGUACUGUCCUGGUUUAACUUGGUCCCUCACAGAGGGGAGGGAUAUACAGAUUCCAGUCUGUGCCCAACAUGGACUCCAUGUCUCCUGAACAGUCUAAGAAAAUAUUACCUAGAGGUAAGCCUGGUUUUACUUGUCUUCUAGACCAAUAGGCCUAAGAGUGAGGCCUGGGAGCCUCUAACCAAGAAGUCCUCAGGGUGUGGGUGGAUCAACCACUAGAGUCAGUACCCACUACCACCUUCCUUUCUUACAAGAUUAUGACCCCACCCCCAUCCCCAAGAGCAGGGACCACGUCCUAGUUACCUUUAUACACCUAGCAUCUAACAGACUGCCUGGC